rnacentral:tRNA from 1 species
UGGGGGAUAGUUUAAUUGGCAAAACAGUAGAUUCUGGAUCUAUCGUUCUUGGUUCGAGUCCAGGUCCCCCAGCAA